GAUGAACGCUAGCUACAGGCUUAACACAUGCAAGUCGAGGGGCAGCAGGAUCUAGCAAUAGAUUGCUGGCGACCGGCGCACGGGUGAGUAACACGUAUCCAACCUGCCGAUAACUCGGGGAUAGCCUUUCGAAAGAAAGAUUAAUACCCGAUGGCAUAAUUAGACCGCAUGGUCUUAUUAUUAAAGAAUUUCGGUUAUCGAUGGGGAUGCGUUCCAUUAGGCAGUUGGUGAGGUAACGGCUCACCAAACCUUCGAUGGAUAGGGGUUCUGAGAGGAAGGUCCCCCACAUUGGAACUGAGACACGGUCCAAACUCCUACGGGAGGCAGCAGUGAGGAAUAUUGGUCAAUGGGCGUAGGCCUGAACCAGCCAAGUAGCGUGAAGGAUGACUGCCCUAUGGGUUGUAAACUUCUUUUAUAUGGGAAUAAAGUUUUCCACGUGUGGAAUUUUGUAUGUACCAUAUGAAUAAGGAUCGGCUAACUCCGUGCCAGCAGCCGCGGUAAUACGGAGGAUCCGAGCGUUAUCCGGAUUUAUUGGGUUUAAAGGGAGCGUAGGUGGACAGUUAAGUCAGUUGUGAAAGUUUGCGGCUCAACCGUAAAAUUGCAGUUGAUACUGGCUGUCUUGAGUACAGUAGAGGUGGGCGGAAUUCGUGGUGUAGCGGUGAAAUGCUUAGAUAUCACGAAGAACUCCGAUUGCGAAGGCAGCUCACUGGACUGCAACUGACACUGAUGCUCGAAAGUGUGGGUAUCAAACAGGAUUAGAUACCCUGGUAGUCCACACAGUAAACGAUGAAUACUCGCUGUUUGCGAUAUACAGUAAGCGGCCAAGCGAAAGCAUUAAGUAUUCCACCUGGGGAGUACGCCGGCAACGGUGAAACUCAAAGGAAUUGACGGGGGCCCGCACAAGCGGAGGAACAUGUGGUUUAAUUCGAUGAUACGCGAGGAACCUUACCCGGGCUUAAAUUGCAUUUGAAUAAUCUGGAAACAGGUUAGCCGUAAGGCAAAUGUGAAGGUGCUGCAUGGUUGUCGUCAGCUCGUGCCGUGAGGUGUCGGCUUAAGUGCCAUAACGAGCGCAACCCUUAUCUUUAGUUACUAACAGGUCAUGCUGAGGACUCUAGAGAGACUGCCGUCGUAAGAUGUGAGGAAGGUGGGGAUGACGUCAAAUCAGCACGGCCCUUACGUCCGGGGCUACACACGUGUUACAAUGGGGGGUACAGAAGGCAGCUACCUGGUGACAGGAUGCUAAUCCCAAAAGCCUCUCUCAGUUCGGAUCGAAGUCUGCAACCCGACUUCGUGAGGCUGGAUUCGCUAGUAAUCGCGCAUCAGCCAUGGCGCGGUGAAUACGUUCCCGGGCCUUGUACACACCGCCCGUCAAGCCAUGAAAGCCGGGGGUACCUGAAGUACGUAACCGCAAGGAGCGUCCUAGGGUAAAACUG
rnacentral:rRNA from 1 species